rnacentral:ncRNA from 1 species
CCAUUUAAAGAUAGACCGUGGUCAGUUUUUCUAGGCAAAAGACCUUCGAUAUAGGCUCUUCCAAUCACUGUGAAGCAGAAUUCACCAAGUGUUGGUUCGUUCACCCACUAAUUGGGAACAUGAGCUGGGCUUAGACCGUCAUGAGACAGGUUAGUUUUACCUUAAUAAUGAGUACAUCAAUGAAGUACAGUCUGUCCGUUGCUAUGGUAAUCCUGUUUAGUAUGAGAGGAACCGCAGGUUCAGAUAAUUGGUAUAUCUACCUGGUCGAAAGGUCAAUGGCGCGAAGCUGCCAUCUGAGGGAUCAAGACCGAACACCUCUAAGUCUGAAUGCCGUCCAUAUUUGCAAAGGUGCACAUAUCCGGAAAGCUCAGA